ensembl:snoRNA small nucleolar RNA, H/ACA box 32
UGGUCAUAUACCAAGGCUUUCAGGAUCCGGUGUUCCUGACUUGCUGUGGACUUGACCAGAAAUCAAAAACCACCCCAGUGAGCCUCUGCAGCAGCGUUUGUAGAGGACUCACUGGGGACAUGA